GCCCUCUAAGGAUCGCACCUGGAGAGUUUCCAGUGCUCUAUCAGUCUCAGCUACAGGAGGAAGAGUCAAGCAGAGGCCUACCCAUUCCAUUCCUAGCUUGGCGGAUGGCUAGCAAGUGGAAUGCAAUCUGCUAGAAGU